GGAAGCGUGUGUGGGAUAGCAUAACUAAGCAUCGAUAGUUACAUAGAUCACUAUGUGGCAGAUCUGCUCAGUUAGUGUUAUCAUAUAUCAUGUUGAGCUAUGUCAGAUUGUUCAGAUAAGUCUCACGAUUUCUCAGACUCCCGAUUGCGCAUGCAAACAUGUUUAAGAACAUAGACGUUUUACGUCCAUUAAACGCGCACGCCUGCACGGUCGAGUCUCUAUUCCUCGUAGUACCGCGACUUCCAAAUUUGGGGGGUAAUCGAUUUGGUCAGAGGUAAUUUGUCGCUUCCACAUGCAGGCACUGCUGAUGGCGGUAUGCCAUCUUUUUUUG
rnacentral:snRNA from 1 species